UAGGGAAUAUUGGGCAAUGGAAGCAAUUCUGACCCAGCCAUGCCGCGUGAAGGAAUACAGCCCUAUGGGUUUUAAACUUCUUUUAUUAUAGAGUAACCGGAGGUACGUGUACCUCCCUGCAAGUAUAUGAUGAAUAAGGAUCGGCUAACUCCGUGCCAGCAGCCGCGGUAAUACGGAGGAUCCAAGCGUUAUCCGGAUUUAUUGGGUUUAAAGGGUGCGCAGGCGGAUCAAUAAGUCAGGGGUGAAAAAUUUCAGCUUAACUGGAAUCGUGCCUUUGAUACUGUUGGACUAGAGUAUAAUUGACGUGACUGGAAUGUGAUGUGUAGCGGUGAAAUGCUUAGAUAUGACACAGAACACCAAUCGCGAAGGCAGCUUACCAAGCAAUAACUGACGCUCAUGCACGAAAGCGUGGGGAUCAAACA
rnacentral:rRNA from 1 species